rnacentral:rRNA from 1 species
UACGGAGGGUGCGAGCGUUGUCCGGAAUCACUGGGCGUAAAGGGCGCGUAGGCGGCUCGUUAAGGGUGCGGUGAAAGCCCGGGGCUUAACCCCGGGUCGGCCGUGCCGACUGAUGAGCUCGAGCACUGUAGAGGCAGGUGGAAUUCCGGGUGUAGCGGUGGAAUGCGUAGAGAUCCGGAGGAAGACCGGUGGCGAAGGCGGCCUGCUGGGCAGUUACUGACACUGAGGCGCGACAGCGUGGGGAGCAAACAGGG